rnacentral:rRNA from 1 species
GACGAACGCUGGCGGCGUGCUUAACACAUGCAAGUCGAACGGAAAGGCCCUGCUUUUGUGGGGUGCUCGAGUGGCGAACGGGUGAGUAACACGUGAGUAACCUGCCCUUGACUUUGGGAUAACUUCAGGAAACUGGGGCUAAUACCGGAUAGGAGCUCCUGCUGCAUGGUGGGGGUUGGAAAGUUUCGGCGGUUGGGGCUGGACUCGCGGCUUAUCAGCUUGUUGGUGGGGUAGUGGCUUACCAAGUCUUUGACGGGUAGCCGGCAUGAGAGGGGGACCGGCCACAUUGGGACUGAGAGACGGCCCAGACUGCUACGGGAGGCAGCAGGGGGGAAUAUUGCACAAUUGGCGGAAGCCUGAUGCAGCAACGCCGCGUGCGGGAUGACGGCCUUCGGGUUGUAAACCGCUUUCGCCUGUGACGAAGCGUGAGUGACGGUAAUGGGUAAAGAAGCACCGGCUAACUACGUG